AAGCUGUGAACCACAGCCAAGCUCACUGCCUUGAAAUUAUUUAAGUAAAGUGGUAACAUAGAGCAGGCAAAUAAUUUAAUUGAACUGCAGUAGCGACAUAGAGGAAAAUAAUAUCUGAAAAAUAAAAGAUUUUAUCAACCACCAAAUGCACAACUUCAACUAUAAAUUAUGACAUUCUUUAUUUUUGAGCUUCAUGUAACUAAAGAGCAAAAAGAAUUUUUAGAAUCAAAAGCUCCUUAUAUCUUGACGGUGCUGUCUGCUGUGCUCUUUACCAUAGUCUUUGUACUGGUCUACGGAUGGAUCAGAUAUAAAUUAAACGAAAGAGCAGCUCGAAGGGAGCUCGAACGAAGAAGGCUAGAGCACGGAAUCGAUUGGGAACCAGAAAGUGCACAUUUCGAGUUUAGUCAAGACCGGAUAAUUUUAAGACGGCAGCCGCGCGAAUUAAAAGGGCAAAGAGGACAAAGACUGCUCCGGGAAAGAAAUGAGUAUAGGCAAAGAGAAAGACAACAACGGGCAUCCUCAGCCGAUACUGCUUUAUGAGCAAAUUUGCGCGCGUUUGGAAGAGAGGCUUACGAUAGUUGAGGGAGAGGUUAAGUGCGAUAAUAUUAAU